GGAGAAAUGGCUCAGUGGUUAAGAGCACUGACCGCUCUUCGAGAGGUUCUGUGUUCAAUUCCCAGCAACCACA
rnacentral:tRNA from 1 species